rnacentral:tRNA from 1 species
GCUGGUGUAGCUCAGAGGCAGAGCAGUCGAUUUGUAAUCGAAAGGCCCUUGCGGAUUUCAUGGGUUCGAUCCCCAUCUCCAGCUCCA